GUGACUGGCAAACGAGAAACAAUGAAACAGUCUCUAGAGGCAGGUGACACUGUUAUAUAAACCCUCCUGAUUAGUGAUCAGAGGCGGGUGAAUCCACUUAUCACGAAUCAACUGCAGUUCAAAGUUUGCUGUUCCUGGGCAUGACGGCAGAAUGGUUUCUUGUCUUCCGGAUGCGCCCAUGAAACAAAAAACUCAACAACAACAGAGCACUGUGGAGGGAGAUAUGGCCAGCGAUGCCUGCAGGAGCAAAGGUCACCGCCUCUGUCCACGGUGCUGAGGACAGAGCACCAUCAGACGGGGGCGUGGCAGUGCUGACGGCGAGACACAGCUGGCAGUAAGCGGCCGGGAGCAGGAGAAGAGAGAGGAUACGGACGUGACUGAAAAGUCACGUUCUGCGGGAGAAAGAUUUUGAUAAAAACAUAUGUACAUUAAAAACGUUGUUAAAAACUGCACGCUUAGCUAGGAAGCGGCUUCCACAAGCACCUAUUACCAUCUUAAGCUAAUGC